ACUCAAAGGAAUUGACGGGGACCCGCACAAGCAGCGGAGCAUGUGGUUUAAUUCGAAGCAACGCGAAGAACCUUACCAGGGCUUGACAUGCCCCUGACCGGCAUAGAGAUAUGUCUUUACCUUCGGGUACAGGGGACACAGGUGGUGCAUGGUUGUCGUCAGCUCGUGUCGUGAGAUGUUGGGUUAAGUCCCGCAACGAGCGCAACCCUUGUCUUUAGUUGCUAACAGGUAAAGCUGAGCACUCUAGAGAGACUGCCGAUGAUAAAUCGGAGGAAGGUGGGGAUGACGUCAAAUCAUCAUGCCCUUUAUGUCCUGGGCUACACACGUGCUACAAUGGUCGGUACAACGAGGAGCUACCUAGCGAUAGGAUGCAAAUCUCUGAAAGCCGAUCUCAGUUCGGAUUGCAGGCUGCAACUCGCCUGCAUGAAGUCGGAGUUGCUAGUAAUCGCGAAUCAGAAUGUCGCGGUGAAUGCGUUCCCGGGUCUUGCACACACCGCCCGU
rnacentral:rRNA from 1 species